rnacentral:rRNA from 1 species
AUACGUAGGGUGCAAGCGUUAAUCGGAAUUACUGGGCGUAAAGCGUGCGCAGGCGGUUUUGUAAGACCGAGGUGAAAUCCCCGGGCUCAACCUGGGAACUGCCUUUGUGACUGCAAGGCUAGAGUACGGCAGAGGGGGAUGGAAUUCCGCGUGUAGCAGUGAAAAGCGUAGAUAUGCGGAGGAACACCGAUGGCGAAGGCGAUGCCCUGGGCCUGUACUGACGCUCAUGCACGAAAGCGUGGGGAGCAAACAGGAUUAGAUACCCUGGUAGUCCACGCCCUAAACGAUGUCAACUGGUUGUUGGGUCUUCAUUGACUCAGUAACGAAGCUAACGCGUGAAGUUGACCGCCUGGGGAGUACGGCCGCAAGGUUGAAACUCAAAUGAAUUGACGGGG